UCCAGAACGAGACCCUCGGAUUGGACACUGAAUUAAAUAGUUAUCAACGGGGAAAUCUGUUUACAGACCCUGGUAGGAUCAAAGCAUUCAGUCAAUUGCCUUGAGAUUGUCUAUUCAUCUUCUGGUUUGCCUUUGAUGCCCUGGAGACCAUGAUAAACAGUUUCUAAUUCAGCCAUAAAUCCUGACCCAAAUUAGCCAAAUGUUCGCAUCACUUGCAAACAAGUCUCCGACAUCAUGAUCUCGCAAUUCCAUUCAAAUUUGGCGUUUCUAACAUUGGCAUUGCUUACGGGAUUUUGGAGGCGCCAGACAAAGUUCAAAGCUGGCUUUAUGGACCUCGGUGGAGCCCGAAUCCUUGGCUCGAAGCAGCACAUUUAAACCCGUCCCCCCUUCUGAAUAUAAUUCACCGGCUCUCAAACAAUAAUCAUAGAGAUAACAAUGAGCCCCAUUUGGCUACUUGUCUUUGGUGCUCAUUAUUGUACCUCACCACUCCCCAAGAUUGUGGAUGGCUAGGAACUGUGGAAGUCUGGGAGCAAGAGAGAGAUGGUGCUUGGCCAAGUUGGAGCCAUUCCAAGCGUUUACAAUCCUCGACUCCAGAAAAGAUGUCAAUCCUUGGGAUUCUCUAAUGAGGCCCAUCCAUGGGAAAAAAUCCAGAACUAUUUGAAUUUACAAGAAAGGAGUUGGUUGUGAUCUACAGCGUCCAUCGUUGGACCGAAAGCGAAGGAUAUCGAACCUGCGAGGGUGCUGAGACGGCUUCCUAGCUCUAGAGAUAGCGGCCAUUUCGAAGGCAAAGACAGGGAUGUCCGCCAUCAUGAGGGUUCAACACCCGGUUUUUAUGUGCUCUGACCCUCCGCCGAAUUCUCGUCCCUAGUUGGCCAAUUCCGAAAAUCCGUCCCCACAUCUUCGAUGCUACUGAUACCGGAUCCAAGGCUUCACGAGCUUCGCUGGAAACGAUUACUCAAAUCCAAAUCUUAACUUGCAGCUUAAGUUCGAGACCUGAAUGUUGGCAUGGAGACUGGAACGCAUGCACUCACACACACAGAGCAAAGUAACAACAUGGGUUGUGGACAAAACCAGAUUUGGUCGCAGAGUUAAGUUAAGAAUUUCGAUCAAAGAUCUCAACUUCGACUCCUGUGACUGGGACGGAUUUUUGAUGUUUCAACUAUUUUCCAUAGAGUUGCCGCCGGUCCGGAUUGGUCUUGACUACGAAAUGAGUGGAAACAUAUGUGUGAGUAUUUAUGCCCGAAUGCGUGAAUCAUUUUGUGUCCCGUAGGUGGUCCAAUUCCUCAAUGCAAUAGCCCUUUCAUGAUCUUCUUGCCCUUCCCAUUACUUGAUUGGUUUAGACGGAAACCAGAGAGAUUUAACCAGUUUUGCCCCUUGACCGCUCCCGACAUAUCAUUAAACAAAAUCCAUUUGAGGAUUAGACCUGGAUAUCAUAUCCAUCCCACCUACUUGUCCUCCCAAUCAUUCGGUUUGGUUAGCUUCCAAAACAUCCCGAGAUUUACAGUGUAAGAAGUCAACGAAUUAGAUGACAAGAACCAUGUAUGAUAGAAAGAAAAAGAGAGAGAAAGAGUAGAAAAAAGA